UACAGAGGUCUCAAGCGUUGUUCGGAGUUACUGGGCGUAAAGGGUGCGUAGGCGGCGCGGUAAGUCGGGUGUGAAAUUUCGAGGCUUAACUUCGAAACUGCAUUCGAUACUGCCGUGCUAGAGGACUGGAGAGGAGACUGGAAUUUACGGUGUAGCGGUGAAAUGCGUAGAUAUCGUAAGGAAGACCAGUGGCGAAGGCGGGUCUCUGGACAGUUCCUGACACUGAGACACGAAGGCCAGGGGAGCAAACGGG
rnacentral:rRNA from 1 species